UACGUAGGGGGCAAGCGUUGUCCGGAAUUAUUGGGCGUAAAGAGCAGUGUAGGCGGUCCGGUAAGUCAGCUGUGAAAGUCAAGGGCUCAACCCUUGAAUGCCGGUUGAUACUGUCGGGCUAGAGUCCGGAAGAGGCGAGUGGAAUUCCCGGUGUAGCGGUGAAAUGCGCAGAUAUCGGGAAGGAACACCAAUGGCGAAGGCAGCUCGCUGGGACGGUACUGACGCUGAGACGCGAAAGCGUGGGGAGCAAACAGG
rnacentral:rRNA from 1 species